CCUGCAGAGGUGCUUAUUUAGCAAAUUCAACCUUAAACCUGAGUGCAUGGAAACUAUUGAUGCAGUGUCCAAGGUGGAGAAAGGUCAGAGUGGAUCCAGAGGAGCCAAGAGAAGACGUCCAGCAUGGUGACCUGGGCUCAAGUCAAGGUCCUUAUUUCUCUGCUGAACCAUCACAUUCCUUAUACAGAGUGGGACAGCAUUGGCUGAGUUCUACUAGCAAAUGCCGGAGAUGUGGUUCCUGUUGGCCUUUUAACUGAUGUGAUGAAAUAAAGUCUUCCAUAAUUUGACAA
rnacentral:lncRNA from 10 species